CUCCUAAAAGUCCGCUUAAAUAAAGUUCUACUUUUAAAAUUAAGAAAACAUUGUUUUUACCCUUCUAAUAAUUUCUCUUACUAAUAAAAUUUUGUUUAAAGUAAAGAAAAUUUCGUAAUUUGCCUAAAAAUUUACGUAAGCCAAAAUUUCUGCCCUAGCUAGCCAAAGUUUUAAGCAAGACUAACGUUUCAGCGUUGUUUUACGCCACUCGUUGGAUUUUGUGGGAUGUUGGAUUGUUGGAAGUUGGAACGUUGGAACGUAAGAAAUUCCCGCGGAAGUUUUAAAGAAAAUUUAUAAAAAUAAUUCGUAAAUUCAAAUAAAAGAUAUAUUUCAACUUAUUUUUAUAUUAGAACUUCUACUAUGUUAUUUGAUUCAAUUCUGCAUGGCAACAAUAAAUAAAGUUACGACUGCGCCACCGGAAAUAGCGGCUAGUCUGGGAGAACAAAACGUGUGUGUUAGCGGCUGACAAUAAUCACAGAAUUCGCCGCUAAAACAACUUGACAACUUAUAAAAACUAUAUGAAUACUUUAUAUUCAACUCAUGGAUCUACGAAAUGCCGGUUGAAAGUUACAGAUUAACAGUUUAACUGCAGUCCAUUUAGAAACCAGAUCAGAUGUGUUUUAAAGAGCAUAGCAAUACUACACUCUAUAAAUACAACCAUGUUUCGUGAACGACUUAAAAAUUACCCUUGGAAUCCUAGAAUGAAUUCAUGUACUUAUGGACUUGACAUUUAGAUUACUUCAGAAUACUAAACAACAAAUAUAUGACUAUCCUAAGAAUGAUUGAAAUGUGACAGAGUUGAGGAUGCUUAAAAUUACUACAUGUACAUAUGUACAUAUUAUUCUACAAGAAAAUUAAGAAAGUUUAUCAUGCCAUGACAGAUUAUGAAGAAACCUGAGGCUGUUGAACAAAGAUGGUAUAAGUCAUGAGUUGCCUUUAUAAGGAGAAUUGAACAUUACAGUUUU